rnacentral:rRNA from 1 species
AGAGUUUGAUCCUGGCUCAGGAUGAACGCUAGCGACAGGCUUAACACAUGCAAGUCGAGGGGCAGCACAGGGUAGCAAUACUUGGGUGGCGACCGGCGCACGGGUGAGUAACGCGUAUGCAACUUACCUAUCAGAGGGGGAUAGCCCGGCGAAAGUCGGAUUAAUACCCCAUGAAACAGGGGUCCCGCAUGGGAAUAUUUGUUAAAGAUUCAUCGCUGAUAGAUAGGCAUGCGUUCCAUUAGGCAGUUGGCGGGGUAACGGCCCACCAAACCGACGAUGGAUAGGGGUUCUGAGAGGAAGGUCCCCCACAUUGGUACUGAGACACGGACCAAACUCCUACGGGAGGCAGCAGUGAGGAAUAUUGGUCAAUGGCCGAGAGGCUGAACCAGCCAAGUCGCGUGAAGGAAGAAGGAUCUAUGGUUUGUAAACUUCUUUUAUAGGGGAAUAAAGUGGAGGACGUGUCCUUUUUUGUAUGUACCCUAUGAAUAAGCAUCGGCUAACUCCGUGCCAGCAGCCGCGGUAAUACGGAGGAUGCGAGCGUUAUCCGGAUUUAUUGGGUUUAAAGGGUGCGUAGGUGGUGAUUUAAGUCAGCGGUGAAAGUUUGUGGCUCAACCAUAAAAUUGCCGUUGAAACUGGGUUACUUGAGUGUGUUUGAGGUAGGCGGAAUGCGUGGUGUAGCGGUGAAAUGCAUAGAUAUCACGCAGAACUCCGAUUGCGAAGGCAGCUUACUAAACCAUAACUGACACUGAAGCACGAAAGCGUGGGGAUCAAACAGGAUUAGAUACCCUGGUAGUCCACGCAGUAAACGAUGAUUACUAGGAGUUUGCGAUACAAUGUAAGCUCUACAGCGAAAGCGUUAAGUAAUCCACCUGGGGAGUACGCCGGCAACGGUGAAACUCAAAGGAAUUGACGGGGGCCCGCACAAGCGGAGGAACAUGUGGUUUAA